rnacentral:lncRNA from 1 species
AGAGUCAAUGAUCUGCAACCAGAAAUGAAAAGCCAAGAACUGCUGGGCUAAGGGAAAACCAUUUUCUCUGAAGAUGCAUCUACAGAUUGAUCAUCUAAGAACAAUUUAUUUUCCUAGACUGCACAGCUCCUUUCAGGAAAUGGGGAAAUGGAGAGUCCCAUCGAGAGAGGUCAGCUUUGGCUGGAUUUAAUGUGUGCCUUUAUAAGGUCUCUUUGGGUAGCAUUGUCUGAACAGGCAUGAAUAGGGUUGUCACCCUUCAGCCUGUGCAUCCCAUUGUCACACUUUUUAACCUGGACAGAUGUACCUAAACCGAUAUAGCUGUGCUGUCUAAUGCAGUAGCUACUAGCCACACGUGCCUAUUUAAAAUUAAAUUAAUUAAAAUGUGACUAGUUCCUGACUCAUUCUAGCCACAUUUCAAGUGCUGACAGCCAGGUGUAGCUGUGGCUACCACAGUAGGUGGUACAGAUAUAGAGCAGGCCUGUCAUCUCUGAAAGUUGCAUCAACUGGUGCAACUUUAGAAGGUCACGUAUGUGACGCAAAUCUAAGAACACAGGGAGUGUUGGAGAGCCACAAACAUCUUAAAAUUGGGGUCAGAUGCAGUUAAGAUUUUAUUUUGAUAUGACUGCUAUCAGUGGAUAACAUCAGUAAUUCAUUUCACCUUAUUAGUCAUGGGUGUUUAGAAGAAAUUUCGAAGAUGCCUAAACAAACAAAUACUAUAUUUUUAACAAUGUCACAAAUGAAGUCUUCACUGGCCACGGCUCUGGUGGGGCCUUAGAUCACAACACAGGUGCACCACCUCUGGGUCCCAGGGCCAGGUGCUGUGCCUGGCGGUUGAGGGGCAUUUAAGGAAUAAUUGUGGAGCAGAAGCUGCAGUCCACACCCUCCACUGUCCAUAGCAGAGAAAAGACCUAAGGUGAUUCCUUGUCAUUAUGGCAGAGACCUCUUUUUAAUAUUUGUUCUGGGAUAGAAUCACAGCUACAUUCCAGUGGAAACUGAUUUUGUCUUUUCCGGAUACUUAUCAUCCUGUGGCCUCAGUGGUGCUCUUCAGCAGGGUGGCCCUCCCAGGCACAUGGCCUGUCAAUCACCAUCAAUUCCUGCAGAACAAAGUGCGUAAGAUGCAGCUGGAUUUAUUAUCUCAAUGUGAAAGGCCAACAGAUAGCCCAUAUGAAAGGUAUGGACAGUGAGCAGUAAGAAUGAAAGCAAUGGUUGAUUCAGCAGCCUUGAGGGAGCCGUGAAUUCCCUUAUCUCGUCCACAUUCAUUGAGCAUUGUGUCUAAAACGGGGCAUGACCGAGAAUCACCCAAGUGCUCUGGCCUUUCACUUCUCCCUCUGAACUGGCAAAUAAUGACGGAGAAGGAAGGGGCAAUAGAGGGACGAAAAUGCUCCCCUGGCUGACUUCUGGGUGUCUUGGGCAGAGGGAGCGCUGAAGUUGGCAUCUCCUUUACGUUUCCUUGGGACCUGGGAAAGCUUUCAGGAGGUCGAGACACGCGCUGCAGGUGCGAGAGCCCCGGUGAGGAAGAUGCCAUGCUUUCUGCCUCCUCUUGACUCAGGCUUCUUCUUCAUCAGCUGGAUGGGGGCUUGUGGGAAGAAGGGGAGUGUGGUAGAUUCCCUCUUCUGCGUGCCCCGCUCCACCGUGGUCCAGGUGAGGUAGGGACCCUUAGGUAGCGUCGGGUUCUGGAAGAGCCACUUUAGAACUCCCAGGUUGCCUCCCCAGGGAUGCAGAGAGGAGGCACCAAGGCUGGGGAGGCAGGAGGAUGCAGGGAGGUAGUAGAGAGAACUUCUCAUUUCUCCGCGGAGCCUAGGACAGAUGGGAUUCUUUUUCUGUCAUCCCCCUUGGGUUCAUUCUUUGGACGGAUCAUCCCAUUCUUUUGUUUUCUUUGCUGUGUUUCUCUCUCUGCAGGUAGGAUUCAGAGCUGAGUGAUUAUGAGAGUCUGCCAGUUCCCUUUUGCAAUGGGGAUUUUUCUUCUUGCAUUCUCAACUAGAUGAAUCCUAGCAGGCAGAGCAGUGAGUGCUGCCCCUCUGGGUCCCAGGGCCCAGGGCUGUGCUGGAGUCGAGGGUCAUGAAGUGACUAAUUGUGGAAUGGAAGCUGUAGCCCAGAACGUCUGAUGGCUACCUCAGAGGAAAAGCUUGAGUCGACUUUGUCACAGCACCUGGUAGGGGAGUCAUGUGUGGGCCUCUCCUUGUUCACCCCACAUUCUGAGUGUGUAACAGUGCAUGGCAGAGAAUAAAUGAGUUUUGCUUCAUUCUUCUACUUUCCAAGUUCUCCAUAUUUAAGAUUAGAUUUAUAAUCUCAUACUUCUUUCUGAGUCUUCCAUGCAUAGUGGGAACUCCAAUAAGGACCUUCUUUACCCACUAACUCCAUGAGGAUAGGACCAUGGGGUCUUAGCCAUGGUUGCAGUCCAGCAGCACAUGCCUGGGGGUUUUUAAUCAUCUUUUGACUACAGUAAUAGAAAAAACAGACCUAUAAGUCCUGGGAAUUUGGAGCCGUGCCAUCCUUUAGAGCUAUCUCCAGUGGUGGAAGUGUCCUGUGUCUGCACCACUCCGUGCCCAGCUGCCAGCCACGUGUGGCUAAUGAGCACUGAGGCUGUGGUUAGUGUGACUGAGAAACUGAUUUUUCUGAAUUUUAGUUAAUUGCAAUUGGUUUGAUUUUUUUGUUUGUUUGUUUGUUUUCUUUUUUGGCCGCCCAGUGGCGUGUAGAGGUCUCAGGCCAGGGAUCAGAUCUGAGCCACAGUUGAGACCUAUGCCACAGUGAUGGCAACGCUGCGUCUUUUAACUCACUGUGCCAGGCUGGGGAUAGAAGCUGCCUCCUGCUGCUGCAGAGAUGCUGCUGAUCUGUUGUGCCACAAUGGGAACUCCACACUUGGCUUGAAUUUAGAUGUAAAUAGUACCCAGGGCUAGUGGCCGUGAUAGUGCACAGUCUGGACUGACCGGCAUUUCAGCAGCCUGUAUCUCUACCUUCAAAGGAGAUUUAGGAUGAUAACUCUGCUACAUGGUGGGACCACUCUCCUUGCCCUGCAGGUAGAGGGGCUUGAAGGGGAGCCCCUCCCUUCCCGGGAGGCUUAAAGCCAAUGCAGCCUUCCCAGGACACCUGUAGAUUCUUUAAACUCCUCGUGUGUUGAGGUUAGCAGUUCAGACCAUUAAUG